rnacentral:tRNA from 1 species
GCCCAGGUGGCGGAAUUGGUUUCAGGUACUAGCGGGUAAAACCGUGGAGGUUCGAGUCCUCUCCUGGGCACCA